rnacentral:lncRNA from 1 species
GCCAAAGUGCGUAGUCUUGGCAACAGGGGCCCAUAAACUAAUAUCAAAAUCCGAGUCAGUACUCUUUUUUAAACCAUUUUUUCAUUAUUAGGAAUACUCAUAUGUAUUAAAGUACUUUACAACAAAAAUUACUAGUUUACUAUUCUCGCUCUCGGGCUGUUGACGGUCACGGCCGCUGGGGGCAUGCCAGAGCACAUGGCCGCGCACGCCGCGAUGUUUACUUCGUUGCAAAUGUGUAGGCUAGUCUGUCAUCCCCGCCACGUGCAAUCGACUCAAGCAGUGCCUCGAAGACAACGUGGUCUGACGCAGAAACGAGGGCAGUCAUACACCUCUGGGAGGAACACUUGCCAGACCUACGCCGUGCGAAGUGCAAUUUGAAGGUGUAUGCUGCGAUCGCAGAGAACCUACAAGCAUUAGCAUUUGACAAAAGUACGAAGGAGGUGCAGAAAAAGAUACAGGCUCAUCAAGCGAAAAGACACCGGAACUGGCUCAGGGGCCAUAAGUUGGCCCUAUUAUUGGGAACUACAUCGUUUUUUGGGCACACUGCCACUUCACGACUAAACACUGGCCCAAGAAAGUAGUUGCUGCCAAACAUCCCCAGCAGAAGUGAUCCUUGAAGGAAUAGCAAGGGCCUUGCAAGAUAACCAGUCGAGUGACGGGUGCCUGUCACCUCUCCCUGGGAUGGCAUGCUGCCCCCCACCAUGUGCAUCGCCACCUGAAGCGGGGAACUCUUGUCUGCAAUCCCCCCCCUGGCACAGGAACAGCUGGACCCAGCUGCGAAGCUGGAUUGGAUGUACAAAUCCAGCAACCAAAAAACGGA